GACGAACGCUGGCGGCGUGCCUAAUACAUGCAAGUCGAGCGAAUCAAUGGGAGCUUGCUCCCUGAGAUUAGCGGCGGACGGGUGAGUAACACGCGGGUAACCUGCCUGUAAGACUGGGAUAACUUCGGGAAACCGGAGCUAAUACCGGAUACUUUCUUUUCUCGCAUGAGGGAAGAUGGAAAGAUGGUUCUGCUAUCACUUACAGAUGGACCCGCGGCGCAUUAGCUAGUUGGUGAGGUAACGGCUCACCAAGGCAACGAUGCGUAGCCGACCUGAGAGGGUGAUCGGCCACACGGGGACUGAGACACGGCCCAGACUCCUACGGGAGGCAGCAGUAGGGAAUCUUCCGCAAUGGACGAAAGUCUGACGGAGCAACGCCGCGUGAGCGAAGAAGGCCUUCGGGUCGUAAAGCUCUGUUGUUAGGGAAGAACAAGUACGAGAGUAACUGCUCGUACCUUGACGGUACCUAACCAGAAGGCCACGGCUAACUACGUGCCAGCCGCCGCAGUAAGAC
rnacentral:rRNA from 1 species